rnacentral:sRNA from 1 species
CUCUAGCCCCGAUUGUAGUGGAAAUCCUUUUCCUUUUUUUAAAGGAAAAGAUUGCAGCGUAAAGCGGGACGAUGU